AUAAUCAUGCAGGAAGAAGACGCUUAAUGCUUAAUUGGGAAUUCGGUUAGAGACCGAAGCUGUAUCCGCAACUGUAAGUGCUAGUUUUGGAAUAUGCCACUGUCUAAUGAUGGGAAGGCUUCAAAACGCAAAUGCACAAGCCAGGAGACCUGUCUUUUUCUGAUCGUAACA
rnacentral:ncRNA from 2 species